CAAUAGCGUAUAUUAAAGUUGUUGCAGUUAAAAAGCUCGUAGUUGGAUUUGUGGCGUACGGUGGGUUCCGGGCACUUGUUGUCUGAGUAACUUGCUGUUGCCAUCCUUGGGUGGAACCUGUGUGGCAUUAGGUUGUCGUGCAGGGGAUGCCCAUCAUUUACUGUGAAAAAAUUAGAGUGUUCAAAGCAGGCUUAUGCCGUUGAAUAUAUUAGCAUGGAAUAAUGAGAUAGGACUUUUUUGCUAUUUUGUUGGUUUGCGCAAAGAGGUAAUGAUUAAUAGGGACAGUUGGGGGUAUCCGUAUUCCAUUGUCAGAGGUGAAAUUCUUGGAUUUUUGGAAGACGAACUACUGCGAAAGCAUUUACCAAGGAUGUUUUCAUUAA
rnacentral:rRNA from 1 species